GUUGAUAUAAAUUGUGCGUUCAUAUGCCCUGUACGCUAGUGCAGUCGUCAUCCUAGCCGCGGCUAUGUCGGCUUUAUGUUCUUUUAUCCUCCUCUCAAGGCUCCUGCACGUGCUUCCUAUGUAAAACUGCCGCGUAUUCUGUUCUACGUCAUAAAAGGGUAUGGCAUAUACCCCGGGCCUCUUGUGUCUUGGGACUGCGCUCUUGUCGUUUCGGAGGAUGUUGAAUGUGGUUGCUCCUCGUUGUGGGGCCGUCCUGUAGUUCCCAUGCUUAGUGUAUUUGCGUAGUAUUCUGUCCGUGUUGGAGUG
rnacentral:lncRNA from 1 species